GAUGAACGCUAGCGGCAGGCCUAACACAUGCAAGUCGAGGGGCAUCGGGAUUGAAGCUUGCUUCAAUUGCCGGCGACCGGCGCACGGGUGCGUAACGCGUAUGUAACCUGCCUCACACUGGGGGAUAACAGUUAGAAAUGACUGCUAAUACCGCAUAAGCGCACAGUGCCGCAUGGCAGUGUGUGAAAAACUCCGGUGGUGUGAGAUGGAUCCGCGUCUGAUUAGCCAGUUGGCGGGGUAACGGCCCACCAAAGCGACGAUCAGUAGCCGACCUGAGAGGGUGACCGGCCACAUUGGGACUGAGACACGGCCCAA
rnacentral:rRNA from 1 species